rnacentral:rRNA from 1 species
GGCUACGGCCAUACCACCCUGAACGCGCCCGAUCUCGUCAGAUCUCGGAAGCUAAGCAGGGUCAGGCCUGGUUAGUACUUGGAUGGACCCCUAUCUUACAUCACUCAUAAAAAUUAACUCUAUAUAGCUU